rnacentral:rRNA from 1 species
UACGGAGGGUGCGAGCGUUGUCCGGAAUCACUGGGCGUAAAGGGCGCGUAGGCGGCGCGGGCAGUCAACGGUGAAAGCUUGGGGCUCAACCCCGAGUCGGCCGUCGAUACUCCCGGGCUUGGGCACUGUAGAGGCAGGUGGAAUUCCGGGUGUAGCGGUGAAAUGCGUAGAGAUCGGGAGGAAGGCCGGUGGCGAAGGCGGCGCUCUGGAACAUUUCUGACGCUGAGGCUCGAAAGCGUGGGGAGCAAACAGG